rnacentral:rRNA from 1 species
GACGAACGCUGGCGGCGUGCUUAACACAUGCAAGUCGAACGGAAAGGCCCUGCUUUUGUGGGGUGCUCGAGUGGCGAACGGGUGAGUAACACGUGAGUAACCUGCCCUUGACUUUGGGAUAACUUCAGGAAACUGGGGCUAAUACCGGAUAGGAGCUCCUGCUGCAUGGUGGGGGUUGGAAAGUUUCGGCGGUUGGGGAUGGACUCGCGGCGUAUCAGCUUGUUGGUGGGGUAGUAGCGUACCAAGGCUAUGACGGGUAGCCGGCCAGAGAGGGUGACCGGCCAGGCUGGAACUGAUACACGGGCCAGACUGCUGCAGGAGGCAGCAGUGGGGAAUGUUGCGCAACGGACGAGAGGCGGACGCAGCAACGCCGCGCGGGUGAAGAAGGCCUUCGGGGUGGAAAGAGCUGUGGAGUGGGACGAAAAGGAAAGGAGGGCACAGAUCCAGGAACCGAGGGUACCACUAAAGGAAACACCCGCUAACGCCGUG